CUAUCUGAUGUGGAACAAAGAUUCAUCGCUAUGGGAUGGGGAUGCGUCUGAUUAGCUUUGUUGGCGGGGUAACGGCCCCACCAAGGCAACGAUCAGUAGGGGUUCUGAGAGGAAGGUCCCCCACAUUGGAACUGAGACACGGUCCAAACUCCUACGGGAGGCAGCAGUGAGGAAUAUUGGUCAAUGGGCGAGAGCCUGAACCAGCCAAGUAGCGUGCAGGACGAUGGCCCUAUGGGUUGUAAACUGCUUUUAUAAGGGAAUAAAGUGAGUCUCGUGAGACUUUUUGCAUGUACCUUAUGAAUAAGGACCGGCUAAUUCCGUG
rnacentral:rRNA from 1 species